rnacentral:lncRNA from 1 species
GGGUUCAGCACAGUCAGGUUGCUGCUGCAUGCUGCAUGGUUAUACUGGCUGCAGAAAUGCAGCAGCUUGAAGGGGAUACACAUGAAUCAGUUCCUGAGUGGGAGGAGGUAACCCCCUCAAAUCUCUUUGUCAUAGGCUGAUGUCAGAGAAUUAUUUUGUAAUCUGGACAGUUUCUAGGCUGUUUUUAUGGGGAGAAAAUGCUAAGGAUUUGUAUAUAAGCGAGUCAUUUGUAGAUUCAUCCAUUCAUCAAAACAUUUUCUUUGUAAC